GGACCACAGCCCCCAUCCUGAGCAGCUGCCCCAAGUAUCACCCUACAUGACACAGGUGGUGUUCAUGUUGUCAGAAGGUGCCUUAAGGCUUCUUUGUGUUCCUGAGUCCCAGAGCAGACUCUUGGUGCAGCAGUAUGGUUGUUUCCAGGUAGAAAUGCUUGUCACAGCAGUUACAUGCCACCGGGGUACCUGGAUAAGGCAGCCUCCUGACCUGUCCUCAAACCAUGCGACUGCCAACAGAUGGAGUAGAGGGAACUGUUUCUCCUCAUCUUGUUUUUGUUGCUGCAGAGCAGUGCUUACACAGAGCCAAGGCCUUUCCUGCUCCUCGUGCUGCCCUGACAGUGAGGAGGCUGGGGUACACCGGGAGCUGGGAGGCCCAGGCUGGCCAAAGGGAUGGUCCACACCAGGAGGUGUCCUGCUCAGCAAUAAAACUGGGGGGGUUGGCUGGAGGAGCCGCUGCUGCUCAGGGCUGGGCUGGGCAUUGAGGGAAGACUACAGGCCUGUCUCCAUUUACUUUGUAGUCCCGGUGCAGUACUGGAAUGAGAAACAUGGAGUGCAAAUGAGAAUCAAGCCAAAUGUUUGAAAAGCAAUGAGCAACUGAAGAAACAGUUUUGAAGGGGAGAGCUUAUUAUUACCCUUUCGAACACAAUCCUUAAAGGUGCUGGGGUCUCUCGGUUCUCAUCAACUUCAAAGAGAAUUCAGCGUUCAAUAUUUUCUUGCAGAAUUGGGGGUACAGAAAGGAGAGCCAGAUGAUAAUGAGCUGAUAGGAUGACACAUGCUUACGAAAAGAAUGGUAUAUGGGAGAAAACAUUUCUUUAACAAUUUUUAGUAAGACAUGGGUUGUGCAGUGACAAAAAAUGGCAUAAGAUGGCAGUAAGAGAUUGCAAAAUAUAGUGGUUUGGAGUGACACAUUCCAGUGAAUCAACUACUGCCUUGCAGAAAACAUGAUUGUAUAACAAGUGACAAAAUGGGGGAUGCUGAGCACCAUCUAGGCACUGGUUUCUAACUUUUUGCAUUUUUUUUCCCCAAAGGAAAACCUCCAGUUUACUUGACAUUUAUACUUUCUUAUCUUAGUGUGGGAAAAUGGAAUAACAUUUCACACUGCAUUGCCAUCUGUGUGAAAGUGCCUGAAGUUUACUGCUCAUAUAUUUUUUUAAUCUGUGCUGCAUGAAAAUUACUCCAAAUUUAGAGGUACAUUAAAUAUGCCAUCAUAUGCUGGUAGGAAUGAAGUAGGUCAAAACAAUCAUGCCAGUAAUGCACAUGGAACUUUAUAGCCUUCCUAGUGGGGCAUGGGCAACGUGGACUGGUAAAACCACUAUUCCUGUUAAAACUGAGGGGCUAUUAAGGUGGUCCAUGACAACCCCCAGUUCAGGGAGCAGUUUACCGUGGGUGUAGACCCCUUCUUGGCGAAAUUAGCCAAAGUUAGGAGAAGAGGGCUGUAUUUCUGAAUAACGGAGUCUGGUAGGAUUUCUCCAGUUUAUACCUUGCUAAGAGAGAGAAAAUACAGGUAACUUGCAACAUGUAGGUGUGUAAUUUUUCAGUGCCAAUGAUUCCGUUAGAUUUAUGUUGAAAUUUAGUCAUGACUUUAUGUUUGUAUUGAAAGCUAUGUUCUGUAGCCUCAGACUAUCUAUUUCAUGCUCCUCUCAUACUACAAGAGUCACGUCUUCUGAAUCCUCUGCAGUGAAAAUGGUGAUAGCAUUUUUAGCUAGUGCUUUUCAUCCUUGCAACUGAAAGAGCUUUAUAAAUGUACUUAUCACUUACCAAAAAGGGAUUUAUGUGAUUAAAUGAAGUAAAAUUUGCAUAAAACAACAGCGAGCAGUAAUCUUUUCUCUAAAGUACCUAGUGAUGUAUUGCCUAACCUCUGUUUUAUCAGGGAAAGGUAGAUUUGGAAGAAAUUUUUAUGUUUGCUUAAGUUCAUGAAGGUUUUCACUCAAGUAACUUAUUCUUUUCAGCAUCUGCAUUAAUGUAAUCACUGGGGAAUUACAUGGUUAUACGUGAUUUUUAUCAGUUAUCGAAGCCAUAGGUCAAAACACAAAAUUGGCAUUUAAAAGGUGAUGGAAAUUUGUCAUGCUCCCUGAAGGCCUUGGUCUGCAAGCCAGGAGAUGGAUUGCGAUGAGCUAUGAGUAUUUUCAUCUUUGAAGUGUAAGAUUUGUUUCACUGUAGUUCAUAUGUGCCCAAUUCCUCCCAGUCAAGGUUUUAACAUUUCUGGAAAUAAAAAGCAAAAGUCAAUCAAUA